UUGGUAUCCUCUUCUAUCCAUUCCUAUUGGAUCCACGACGAGUGUGGAGUUUCCCCCGUUUAGAUUUCUGGCUCAGCCAAAUGGAAAUCUGAAGUACAGCUUUAGAGUUCCCCAGAACGGCAGAUGCACGACUCAAGAGGUGGCUCUGAACAAACAGGGCCAGCCUGGGGACUACGUGACCGCUGCUCCCAGCACCCUUCGCUUUGUGAAAACGGAUUAUAAAACCUA